rnacentral:rRNA from 1 species
CCUACGGGAGGCUGCAGUGAGGAAUAUUGGUCAAUGGACGAGAGUCUGAACCAGCCAAGUAGCGUGAAGGAUGACUGCCCUAUGGGUUGUAAACUUCUUUUAUAUGGGAAUAAAAUGUUCCACGUGUGGGAUUUUGUAUGUACCAUAUGAAUAAGGAUCGGCUAACUCCGUGCCAGCAGCAGCGGUAAUACGGAGGAUCCGAGCGUUAGCCGGAUUUAUUGGGUUUAAAGGGAGCGUAAGUGGAUUGUUAAGUCAGUUGUGAAAGUUUGCGGCUCAACCGUAAAAUUGCAGUUGAAACUGGCAGUCUUGAGUACAGUAGAGGUGGGCGGAAUUCGUGGUGUAGCGGUGAAAUGCUUAGAUAUCACGAAGAACUCCGAUUGCGAAGGCAGUUCACUGGACUGCAACUGACACUGAGGCUCGAAAGUGUGGGUAUCAAACAGGAUUAGAUACCCCUGUAGUC